GGCCCCUUCGACUAGCGGUCAGGUCGCGUCCCUUUCAAGGACGAAGCGCCGGGUUCGACUCCCGCAGGGGCUACCA
rnacentral:tRNA from 1 species